rnacentral:misc_RNA from 1 species
AAGGAUCAUUAAACGCAAUUGGUUAUACAUUUCAUGUAUCAACUGCAUAAACCCAUUCCGAGUACCUUGCCUGUUGCUUCCAUGGGGCCUGACCUUGGUCACUCUUGAGAUGUGAAUCCCAGGAGAGUUCCCAUGGGAGGUAAUCAUUAAAUUCAUGUAUCCAAUGUCUUCUGUCUGAACUGUUUAUAACGAAUGUUAAAACUUUCAACAACGGAUCUCUUGGUUCUC